UACGAAGGGGGCUAGCGUUGCUCGGAAUCACUGGGCGUAAAGGGUGCGUAGGCGGGUCUUUAAGUCAGGGGUGAAAUCCUGGAGCUCAACUCCAGAACUGCCUUCGAAACUGACGAUCUUGAGUUCGGGAGAGGUGAGUGGAACUGCGAGUGUAGAGGUGAAAUUCGUAGAUAUUCGCAAGAACACCAGUGGCGAAGGCGGCUCACUGGCCCGAUACUGACGCUGAGGUGCGAAAGCGUGGGGAGCAAACAGG
rnacentral:rRNA from 1 species